rnacentral:tRNA from 1 species
GGGCGAUUAGCUCAGGCGGUAGAGCAGCUGACUCUUAAUCAGCGGGUCGUAGGUUCGAGUCCUACAUCGCCCACCA